rnacentral:lncRNA from 1 species
GGUGGAGAAAACAUAGACGAAUUUCGAGAGAAUUUCAUAUAGGCUACUGCAGUGAAGGCCUACAAAAUAGACAAUUCGGUCACGGAUGUGUUUUUUUUUUACUGUGUAUAUUACACAUUUACUUUGUUUAGCAAUGCAUUCUAAAAAUGUUGGACCAUUUUGCGAAUUUCUUCCAUUUCAGGGCUGGUGGCGGUACUGCUGACGGUACUCCAGUGGGCAGGGCGAGGCCUCCCUUCUCCUGUCAGGCCCAUCUGUGACCCCCGCGUUCUGGACCGCUUCAUCAUGGAGGCCCGCGACACAGAGACCGCUCUGCGAAGUUGCAAGGCAGGGUGUGGCGUGACAGGCACCUUCGUGGUUCCACUGACCAACGUUGACUUUGUGGUAUUGGAGACAAAGGAUACUGAGGAGCAGGCUCUGGAGGUCCAGUCGGGGCUGUCUCUGUUUGGCCAGGCCCUGGGUGCUGUGCGGGAGUCAGUGAGCCGUGCUGCCGUGCAGAGCCUCAUCGACAACAACAAGAGCAACAUCCACAGCCUGGGCCAGGUGCUGCGCAGCCUCCACAUCAAGGUGACUCACUGAGGAUUGUGGGUGUCUCGUCUACAGCAUGACCAGUGGAUGGGACUGUGGGUGUCUCGUCUACAGCAUGACCAGUGGAUGGGACUGUGGGUGUCUCGUCUACAGCAUGACCAGUGGAUAGGACUGUGGGUGUCUCGUCUACAGCAUGACCAGUGGAUGGGACUGUGGGUGUCUCGUCUACAGCAUGACCAGUGUAUGGGACUGUGGGUGUCUCGUCUACAGCAUGACCAGUGGAUGGGACUGUGGGUGUCUCGUCUACAGCAUGACCAGUGGAUGGGACUGUGGGUGUCUCGUCUACAGCAUGACCAGUGGAUAGGACUGUGGGUGUCUCGUCUACAGCAUGACCAGUGGAUGGGACUGUGGUGUGAACAGGGGUUCCGUGUGGCUCAGUUGGUAAAGCAUGGUGCAAUGCCAGGGUUGUGGUUUCGAUCCCCAUGGGGGACCAGUAUGGAAAAAGUAUGCACUCGCUGCUGUAAGAGUGUUUCCUGAAAUGUAAGCAGUUUGUUACGUAAGACCAGGAAAUGUUCCUGGUCUGAUCAACUGGCCAGGGAAAAACUUCUGUCUCUUUCUCUUUUUAUUGGAUGUGUCUCAGUGUGCACAUACUGUUCCUCCACAGCAGAGAGUCUAGUUAUAGAUAGGAGUUCUUGGAAAAUUCAUAGACCAUGGGUACAGUCAGUCAGAUGUUCCUCUCCCCUCAGCAUGCCACCACCUGCCUGCUGUGCUUUGUUUGCUUCUCUGUCAGAAGCCAGUAACUUUUCAGGGUAGGGCAGUUCAGUGACUGAGACGGCAUUGAGCAGGCCAGACAUAGCAGUGGCUUCUAUUUGGCUGCAUACCGUUUGGCAUGGAUUAGCGGGGCGGGAAGAAAACCUGGAAUAGAACCCCUUCCACAGAACAGAUGAGUGGUGCUUUCUUUUUAUGGUUUGUAUGUUAACCCUUGUUCUUGCUGUCAUCCAUUGAACAGGACCUGUCCCUCUCUCCAGUGCCAGCAGGAAGUGACUCAGCGACCAGGAAGGUGUCGUCCCUAUCCGAGCUGUUCCGUGUCCACACCAACUUCCUACGAGGGAAGGUUCGCCUGCUGCUCACCAACGCACCUGCCUGUCAACAGAACAGCACGUGAUUGGAGCUUUCCCUGAAGGCAGAGGCUGGGAUUGGACUGUUGUUUAGAGAGAGGAUGAGGUCAUUGGACUUCUGCUGAAAUCUCUGAAUGGACUUCGAAGUAUGGAAUGUGUAGACAAGGUGAUUGUUGACUGGAUAAAAACUGGUGGGAAAGUCAGUUGAUGUGGGUGGUGCUGAUGAGAAACCAUGAACGAGUGAGAGAAAAAAACAUCACUUCUACAACUCAUUGACCUCAUCGGUUCCUAGUACUACCUGUCAGUACCACAAUGAGCUCUGAUGCAUGCAGCGGGAAUAAGCUACAGACAGUACCCGCUGGGCACAGACGUCAAUUCAAUGUCUAUUCCACGUUGGUUCAACCUAAUU